GAGAAUUUCCAGGCCAAAUAAUGUCACAUGUUCUCUUAAUCUCAGUUAUUUUCCUUUUUUCUAAACAUGAUUAUGUAGCGUUGGAUUGAUAAAAGCAAUGAAUAUGUUCUACUAAAUUUCAUUGUUCUUUGUUGUUCAUGUGUUUAUGUUGAGUGAUCAAUUGAUGCAUUGAUUUUAAAGUGAAAGCAUGGACCUCAAAGUCCCACUGUGCUGUGGUUACUUAAUAGAUGUUAAAAAAAAGUGCUUAACAACCUAGUCUGACUGGUGACAUGUAUACUGUUGCCAUUUCUUUCAGGCACUUGGCAGAUUAAAUAUGAUACUGGAUGCUACCAGCAAGCUUCAGAUCAAUUAGAAAUCAGAUCAUCUGGAAAGGAUAUCUUUUGACAUGUGAAUAUGUGCAGUUUCUGCAUUCUUUUUACUGAUACUGGCCUGUGAUUAUUUCUAGUAAUUUUUAUUUCAGAUUUCAAGAAUCUGCAGUUUUGCUUAGAGUGUGGUUAAUUGUGCUUUUGAAUGCCAUUAAAAACAUGCCAAAAUGUAAACUUUAA